rnacentral:lncRNA from 1 species
ACUGCAGCAGGCCACAGUUACCCUUCUCCUGUCAACUCUGCUUUAAUGAAACUCAUACAUUAAGUUUGAUGAUGGUGCUGUUGUAUAAGAACAAUGAAGAGGAGGAAAAGAUGAAGAACUACUUUUCCUAUCAAAGCCUUGGAACAAAGUGAAUACUUAUGUAAUGGCCCUAAUGCUGUAUACAAUGUUCUACAAAUUAUAACCACAAAUUCUAUGCUCACUCUUAUUGUGUCCAGCCCACUCUACUUCCCGGACCUGAUUUUGGAGUUGUGAGUUGAUCUUUGCACUAGAUGUGAAACCACUCAGAGUCUGUGUCUCAAACAAAAUGCACACACAGUCUUGCAUGGCGCUCUCCUUUAUCGAGCAACAUCAGGGAAUGAGCUGGCCCAGAGAGUUAAUCUUGCAAUCAAAUAUACUGCAGCCAGAAGGAACACAGAGACACCUUGGGAACAACACUGAACCUCACUCACUCCUCGGCAAACCUCGGCGGCUGCAUUACAUCAUUCUGAACACGGUCUCAUCACUGGCCCUGAAAAUCUGAUCUAAUGAAGCUUCAAGUACAGAGAA